GACGAACGCUGGCGGCGUGCUUAACACAUGCAAGUCGAACGGAAAGGCCCGGCUUUUUUGGGGUGCUCGAGUGGCGAACGGGUGAGUAACCCGUGAGUAACCUGCCCUUGACUUUGGGAUAUCUUCAGGACACUUGGGCUCGUACCGGCUAGGAGCUCCUGCUGCAUGGUGGGGGUUGGAUGGUUUCGGCGGUUGGGGAUGGACUCGCGCCUUAUCAGCUUGUUGGUGGGGUAGUGGCUGACCAUGGCUUUGACGGGUAGCCGGCCUGAGAGGGUGACACGCCCCAUUGGGACUGAGAUACGGCACAGACUCCUACCGGAGGGAGCAGUGGGGAAUAUUGCACAAGGGGCUGAACCCUGAUCCAGCACCGCCGCGUGCGGGAUGUCAGCAUGCGGGUUGUAAUCCGCUUUCGCCUGUCCCGAAGAGUGAGUGACGGUAAUGGGUAAAGAAGCACCGGCUAACUACGUG
rnacentral:rRNA from 1 species